rfam:Lingula anatina scaffold803, whole genome shotgun sequence.
GCCGCGAUAGCUCAGUUGGGAGAGCGUCAGACUGAAGCCGGCUUGUGGAGCACAAGAUCGCCCAGAGAUCUGAAGGUCGCUGGUUCAAUCCCGGCUCGCGGCA